CCUACGGGUGGCAGCAGUGAGGAAUAUUGGUCAAUGGCCGGAAGGCUGAACCAGCCAAGCCGCGUGAAGGACGAAGGUGCCACGCAUUGUAAACUUCUUUUGUCAAGGGACAAAAUCAGGCUCGAGAGCCUGACCGAGGGUACUUGAAGAACAAGCAUCGGCUAACUCCGUGCCAGCAGCCGCGGUAAUACGGAGGAUGCGAGCGUUAUCCGGAUGUAUUGGGUUUAAAGGGUGCGUAGGCGGGCUGUUAAGUCAGCGGUAAAAGCCCGGGGCUAAACCCCGGCGAGCCGUUGAGACUGGCUGUCUAGAGAUGUCGAGAGGUAUGCGGAAUGCGCAGUGUAGCGGUGAAAUGCUUAGAUAUUGCGCAGAACUCCGAUUGCGAAGGCAGCAUACCGGCGGCGAUCUGACGCUGAGGCACGAAAGCGUGGGUAUCGAACAGGAUUAGAUACCCCAGUAGUC
rnacentral:rRNA from 1 species